rnacentral:misc_RNA from 1 species
AUUGGCGCGUAAGGCAUGUCGGAUCCCUGCUCGAGCAGCGACGGCAUCUCAUGCGCUCCUUUUCAGUGAUUGGCUAUAGUGCUCAUGCACUCGGCCGAUGUUGCUUUUCCUGAUUUGGAUUCCCAAUAAGACGGUAUUUGUCGGUUAGAUCUCACAUUUCCACCAUGCUCUGCAUCUCAUUAUGGAAUGCAGUGUCGGGUGGUCCACAAAGCACACGUCGUGUUUUGCUAGACCGGACUCUCACAAUUGCGAGUGCUCGGUUAAGCGACGCAUGACGAUGUGCUCGAUCUCUCGGAUGCGGAACAUUGAGCGGCGAUGAGGCCACGGUCUCUAAAGCCCUCUCAAACAGCGUUCUACGCUUUUUGUGGGCGACGGUUGUUCGGGCCUCGAUCGAGUCCUAGCGGCUUGUAUUCGUGCUCGGAUGACGUUGAUGAGGAAUGCUACCUGGUUGAUCCUGCCAGUAGUCAUAUGCUUGUCUCAA